rnacentral:lncRNA from 1 species
UCUUCUGCUCCUGAUAAGCCCCACCCCCCACAGGUCCACACACACCAUAAACACAACCCUGGUCUGUGCAUACUUCCCAACACCCUGGAGUGUACCCCGAUACCCCACUGCAGAGACCCCCACCUCUCCACCAAUGCCACACCUGGUCCUCACACAGGUGGUGCCCCAAAGAGGUGAACACACCCUCCUGCCUGUAGAGGAUCAAGGCACCCAAUCAAUGCAGGCCGACAAGUAGCCUGAGGGUUUGCUGUUGGGUAGGGCUGGUCCCUAGGGUGUGCUGCCUACCCUGGCUGAACUAGAUUAAAUCUGCACUUCAGUGGGUGUGGCAGACCCUUGGGCUAACAGGCCAGGGGAAGAACUUCAAUGGUGUCUGCCAGGGUCUGUGUCAGCAUGCCUGGACUAAGUGACAACAAUGGCCACCACCAAUGUCUCAGUCUCCAGAGAGGUCUCACAUCACAAUGAGAUGCACUCAGAGCCCACCAGUUAACUAUCUGAUCAAGAUUUCAUGGCCAUAAUGCAAGAUUCCUGUUGCAUCAAAAGUUAGAAAACUGCAGCUCAAGACACUCCUCAUCAUGAUGGAGGGUAAGGGAAUCCACUGUCCGAGACCAGAGGAAUAGAUAACUUCAAAGAUUAAUAGCAGUAUUGCCUUCUGAGAAGGUAGCAAGCUGCACUUUGAGGAAACAGCCCAAAUUUGGAGGGCUGGCAUCAACAGAGAGCCUCUGAGUACGCUUCGCUGGUGAGGUUUUCUACCAUUGCAGCUCCACCAUUGGGUCAGGAGAAUCACAAGCUAUCAGCCACACAGCUAUUAACUUUGAGUCAGGAGGACUGCAUGAUUCUGAGAAGAUCGUUAUUACAGCUUCAUUAACAAACGGAGUAUUUCAAGCAUGUUGUAGUAUGAAGUUCUUUCUGGCCAAGAGAUAUAUAAAUUCUGAGCCAAGGACCUGGAGAAGCAGGAAAUCUGAGCUAUCCAUCCUUGGAGUGUGAAAAAGGACAGCAGAGAUGGUCUUAGAGCAAACAGACCACCCAGAAUAUGUCUGUGGUUUCUCAGUGAGUCUGAACCGUGACGCUACUGUCGCUGUCUUCAUAUUGGCAAGGAGAGGACGUAGGGAUUAUGCAAACAGCCUUUUCUACCUGUGUUUUUUGGUUUCCCUGAAGGUCUCCCUCAGGAAACUUGGGGAUAAAAAGGCAGCCCAUUUUCAAAUGAAGGAUGCAAAAUUUUGGUGUGGAUCAUUGGCCACCAGCGUGAGCAAUGGAUAAUUUAUUUAUUCUGCUUUGCAUUGUGUCUUGUGAGAUGAUUCAAAUUCAGUAUGUGAAUCCAUAAUUGCCUGGGUGUUAAUGAUGUUGCACAGGAAGGGUUAUGCUGCUACCCAAGCUAAAGAGCUAUUUUAAGUUUGGGCCCCAAUUAAGAAGAGGCUUUUCCUGUUAAUGUGGCUGAUAACCUCCCUCACAUUGUCAAAGCGCGUUAAUAUUCACUAAAUACAUUUUGUAUGUGUUCAUACAGUAAAUGUAUACGUAUACAGAGAGAGAGAGAAAGAGAGAAUAUAAGAAUAGUAUAUUACAGUUCAUUCUCAUUGCAGAAAGGAUUCAUUUAUUCUUAAAUCAUUUUGUCCUCAUGAGGUU